CCUACGGGCGGCAGCAGUGAGGAAUAUUGGUCAAUGGGCGCGAGCCUGAACCAGCCAAGUAGCGUGAAGGAUGACUGCCCUACGGGUUGUAAACUUCUUUUAUAAAGGAAUAAAGUGAGGCACGUGUGCCUUUUUGUAUGUACUUUAUGAAUAAGGAUCGGCUAACUCCGUGCAAGCAGCCGCGGUAAUACGGAGGAUCCGAGCGUUAUCCGGAUUUCUUGGGUUUAAAGGGAGCGUAGAUGGGUUGUUAAGUCAGUUGUGAAAGUUUGCGGCUCAACCGUAAAAUUGCAAUUGAUACUGGCAGUCUUGAGUACAGUUGAGGGAGGCGGAAUUCGUGGUGUAGCGGUGAAAGGCUUAGAUAUCACGAAGAACGCCGAUUGCGAAGGCAGCUUACUAAACUGCCACUGACAUUGAUGCUCGAAAGUGUGGGUAUCAAACAGGAUUAGAUACCCCAGUAGUC
rnacentral:rRNA from 1 species